rnacentral:rRNA from 1 species
GGAGUUAGCCGGUGCUUCUUCUGUGAGUGAUGUCCUUCCUGCCGGUUAUUGACCCGCAGGCCUUCUUCCUCACUGAAAGUGCUUUACAACCCGAAGGCCUUCUUCACACACGCGGCAUGGCUGGAUCAGGGUUGCCCCCAUUGUCCAAUAUUCCCCACUGCUGCCUCCCGUAGGAGUCUGGGCCGUGUCUCAGUCCCAGUGUGGCUGAUCAUCCUCUCAGACCAGCUACGGAUCGUCGCCUUGGUGAGCCGUUACCUCACCAACCAGCUAAUCCGACAUAGGCUCAUCCGAUAGCGCGAGGCCCGAAGGUCCCCCGCUUUCCCCCGUACGGGCGUAUGCGGUAUUAGCCUGGGUUUCCCCAGGUUAUCCCCCACUACCGGGCAGAUUCCUAUGCAUUACUCACCCGUCCGCCGCUCGCCACCAGGGAGCAAGCUCCCCGUGCUGCCGCUCGACUUGCAUGUGUUAGGCCUGCCGCCAGCGUUCAAUCUGAGCCAUGAUCAAACUACUGA